rnacentral:rRNA from 1 species
CGAUGCCUAAGACAUGCAAGUCGAAACGAGAUGGCCCAGUGAAGGUUGAGUGCUUGCACAAGACUGAAUCUGGAUUCCCAUCUAGUGGCAGACGGGUGAGUAACACGUGGGUGACCUACCUUUCGUGGGAUACAGUUGGAAACGAUUGCUAAUACCGAAUAAAAUGUAAGAGUCAAUUUUACAUUGAAAGGAGCCUUUAAAGCUUUGCGAUUAGAUGGGCCUGCGGCGUAUUAACUAGUUGGUGAGGUAAUGGCUUACCAAGGUGACGAUGCGUAGCCGAACUGAGAGGUUGAUCGGCCACAUUGGGACUGAGACACGGCCCAAACUCCUACGGGAGACAGCAGUUAGGAAUAUUCGUCAAUGGAGGAAACUCUGAACGAGCAAUGCCGCGUGAGUGAUGAAGGUCUUAUAGAUUGUAAAACUCUGUUGUAUGGAAAAAACGACUAGGUUAGGAAAUGAACUUAGUGUGAUGGUACCAUACCAGAAAGCCCCGGCUAACUACGUG